GCAAAUCCGCUGAACUUAAGCAUAUUAUUAAGCGGAAGAAAAGAAAAUAACAAUGAUUCUUUUAGUAACGGCGAGUGAACAAAGAAAAGCUCAACAUGGAAAAUCCGACAGAUAGCUACCCGCGAUUUGUCGGAAUUGUCAAGUUGAAAAACAUUCCAAGAGUUCUUUUUUAUAAUAUGACAAUGAGAAGAAGUAGAUAGAAAUGUCUCUCCUUAGAGGGUGAAAGACCCGUAUUCUUAAUCAUAAAACUGAUCAAUUGGAAUGUUUUGUUUUUGAGUCGUGUUCUUUGAGACUGGAGCACUAAUUAGUGUGAUACAUUUCACAUAAAGCUAAAUAUUUGUAAGAAACCGAUAGUAAACAAGUACCGUGAGGGAAAGAUGAAAUAGUACUCAGGAAUGAGCAAUUAAAUAGUACCUGAAAUCGUUAAGAUGGAACGGAUUAAAAAAGGAAAAAAGUAACAACAUAGUUAAAAUGAGAGAUUUUGGUGCGCGCAAUAAAGAAUGGAGUCCUUAAAAAAGGAUGUAGAUAUUCAAGUAUCAAAACAAAAUUUUUCUUUUUUUAAAAAGAAAUUUUUUGAAGCUUUUGUUAUAAUAUUCAUUUUUAUUCUUAUCCUUUUUUUUAGGUAAGAUAAAAAUGAUACAAAAGUUGUCUUUCAUACUAUAUAUAUAUAUAUAUAUAUAUAUAAAUAUUAUGUUCUUAUUAAAAGAAACAUGAGUGAAUGAAAAUAAAUAAUCGUGGAGCAAAAAUAAACACAAUAACAAGAAAAAAAAAUAAAAAAAAUAAAAUAAAAUAAUUAAAAUAAAAAUAAAACAAAAAGAAACAAAAAAAAGCAAAAUAUAAAAUAAAAGAAUUAAUUGAAUUUAAUUUCAUUUUAUUUUUUUCCUUUUAUAUUUUGCUUUUUUAUUUUGUUUUAUUUUUAUUUUAAUUAUUAUUUUUUUUUUUUUUUUUUUUUUCCCUUAUUGACUAUUUUUCUAAGCUAAUGUGGAAAAAUAUAACUUGCUUCUUUUUUUUUUUUUCUUUUCUGAAGGGAGAAAAAAAAGAAAAAUAUGAAAGAUACAUUUAUUUAAUUUACUGAGGAUUGUGAAAAUUAUAUUAAUUGUAUAUGAUGCGAAAUAAUAUAAUUAAGAUGUUUUUAUAAAGUACUUUUUUAACCCACUCGUCUUGAAACACGGACCAAGGAGUCUAACAAAUGUGCAAGUGUAUAUGAUAAGAAUAAACAUAGUAUAAAAAUUUCUACGCAUAAUUAAUGUAACAAAAAUAUAUGUUUAUUAAUUGUAGAUUUUGUGGGGUUUUAAAUUUUUUUUAUAAAUCCACACAAAUGCAUACAAUACCGGUGAGCAAUUAUGCUUUAUUGAGUAAGAGCAUACUUGUUAGGACCCGAGAGGCUUUGAACUAAACGUGAUGAGAUUGAAGUCAGAGUAAAAUCUGAUGGAGGAUCGAGUUGAUACUGACGUGCAAAUCGUUCAUUUCAAUUGCGUUUAGGGGCGAAAGACUAAUCGAAAAGCCUAUUAGCUGGUUAUUUUCGAAAGAUCUCUCAGGAUCGCUGGAGUUGAUUAUAAUAUAGUUUUACCUGGUAGAAAUAAUGAUUAGAGGAUUCAAGGAGAUGAUAAUUCCUUGACCUAUAUAUAUCGAAAGAUUCAAUAGGUAAAAAAAUGAGGAAAUAACUUUAUUGUAUUUUCAUUCAUAUUUAAAAAUAAGAUAACUCCAAGUUGGCCAUUUUUGGUAAGCAGAACUGGCGAUGAGGGAUGCUCCUAACGCUUGGAUAAGGUGCCUAAAUAUCCGCUCAUUAGAUACCAUUAAAAAGGUGUUGGUUUGUGAUUACAGUAGGACGGUAUUCAUAGAAGUUGAAAUCCGCUAGGAAGUGUGUAACAACUUACCUACCUAAUAAACUCGCCCUGAAAAUGGAUGGCGCUAAAGCGGAUUACCGAUACCAAGCCAUAAAAAAAAAAAAAAAAAAAAAUUCAAUAUUUUUUUUAUUUUUUUAGAUUCUUUUUAUGAGUAGAAAAUCGUGGGGUUUUGUGUUGAAGCGAAAUACGUGAGUUUUCGUGGAACAUCUCCCUAGUGCAGAUCUUGGUGGAAGUAGCAAAUAUUCUUAUGAGAACUUUGAAGACUGAAGUGGAGAAGGGUUUUUUGUAAACUAUGUUUGAGCAAAAGUUAGCCGUUCCUAAGAGAUAGCUGAAAAGCGUUAUAAAUUGAGGUUACCUAUUAUAUGAAAAGUAUAGUAGUGUUUUUUCUCUUCUCGAAAGGGAAGCAGGUUGAUAUUCCUGCGCCAUAUGUAAUAAGAACUAAUAAAUAGAGAUGGUAACAUAUAUAUAAAUAAAUGAACUCCUUAACAUAGGCCUUACGCUUGGAGUGCGUUAUCUUUGCACUUUAACUUUAUAUCAAACCUUCGAAAUCGAUUUACUUGUAGAAAAGGUUCGAUGAAUUUACAAUAAGCAAUUUAUUUAUUAUAUGCGUGGACCGGUACACAUGAUAUAUAUAUUAAUGAAUUGUUUUGUAGUAAUAGUAAUUCGUUUGUUGUACGAAUUAUCCAAAGUUGUAUGGACUAUCCAUGAAAAAAGGAGGGAACACUAAAUUAAAUGGGAAUGUAUAAAAUACUAUAAAAGUAUGAAAGAAGAAAAAGUAAAGAAAGGAAAGAAAAAAAAAUAUUAACCUUCAGCUUUUUUUUCUAUUUUUUUUUUCUUUUUUUGCUUUCAUAUAUUUUUAUAGUGUUUUUACAUUAACCAUUUUUUUUUUUAUAUUCUUAAAUUACAAUUAUAAAAAUGAACGUACCAAUAACCGCAUCAGGUCUCCAAGGUUAGUAGCCUCUGGUUAAAUAGAAAAACGUAGGUAAGGGAAGUAAGCAAAUUAGAUCCGUAACUUCGGGAAAAGGAUUGGCUCUGAUAACACAAAAUGAGAAGAAAAAAAUGAAAAGAAAAAAAUGAAAAGAAUUGUGGUUGAAAAUAAAAAUGUUAAGAUGUUUAUUUAUAUAUUUAUAUUAGUUUUUCUUAUAUUUUAAGAUUAAUUAAUUAAUUAUAUAUUUAAUAUGUUAAAAUGUUUUAUAUUUCUUCUUCUACUCUAUUCUAUUCCAUUCUAUUCUAUUCUAUUUUUUUUUUUCUCUUUCUCUUCGAUAUUACAUAUAUUUUGUUAUUAUAAUAAAAAUUAUGUAAUAUUGUUUAGCUGUGUUUAUUCAGAACUGAAACGGACAAGGGGAAUCCGACUGUUUAAUAAAAACAUAGCAUUGUGAAAAGCUAUAACUGGUAUUAACACAAUGUGAUUUCUGCCCAGUGCUUUGAAUGUCAAGUUGAUGAAAAUUUCAAUUAAGCGCAGGUAAACGGCGGGAGUAACUAUUAUGACUCUCUUAAGGUAGCCAAAAAUGUAUGGUCGAUAAAAAGGACCAUCAGGAAUGGAUUAACGAGAUUCCUACUGUCCCUACUUGCGAUCUAGCGAAACCACAACCAAGGGAAAGGGCUUGGUAAAAUCAGCAGGGAAAGAAGACCCUGUUGUGCUUUACUCUAGUCUGACUUUGUAAAAAGAUUUAAGAGGUAUAGUAUAAGUGGUAGUAGAAAUUGAAAUAAUGUUUUUACGUCAGUGAAAUACCACUACUUUUAAAAAGUUUUUACUAAUCCAUUUAUCUAGUGAAUGACUAUUAUAUAAAUAUAUAUAUAUAUAUAUAUUUUCUAUAUUUUAUGUGUAUCACUUUUUAUGGAGACAGAGUCAGGUGGGGAGUUUGACUAAGGUGGUACAUCUGUUAAAAAAUAACGCAGAUGUCCAAAGAUAAGCUCAAGGAGAACAGAAAUCUCUUGUAGACUAAAAGGGGAAAAGCUUGUUUGAUUUCUAUUUUCAGAAAGAAUAGAAAACGUGAAAACGUGGCCUAUCGAUCCUUUAUAUUUGCAAAAUGACGUAAAAUUAUUUACUACUGUGCAUAUAAAGGUGUCUGAAAAGUUACCACAGGGAUAACUUGUUUGUGGCUGCUUAGCGAUAUUAGCAACGUGGCUUUUUGUAUUUUCGAUUACGGCUCUUCCUAUCAUUGGGACGCAGAAGUCUCAAAGUGUCGGAUUGUUCACCCGCUAAUAGGGAACGUGAGCUGGGUUUAGACCGUCGUGAGACAGGUUAGUUUUACCCUACUGAUGAAUAUUAUUAUAUUAUUAUAUAUAUAUAUAGUAUUGUGACAGUAAUCCAACUUGGUACGAGAGGAUUAGUUGGUUCAGACAAUUGGUACAGCAAUUGGGUUGAUAAACCAGUGUUGCGAAGCUACGUCUGUUGGAUAAUGACUGAACGAUUCUAAAGUCAGAACCCAUACUGAUUAAACAAUAAUAUAAUUGUAUAUUUUUGUUAUAAGGUUGUGUUUUAUUUUUUUUUAUUGCUAAUGUAAAAGAGAAAUUUAAUAUA